GAUGAACGCUGGCGGCGUGCCUAAUACAUGCAAGUCGAGCGAACGGACGAGAAGCUUGCUUUUCUGAUGUUAGCGGCGGACGGGUGAGUAACACGUGGAUAACCUACCUAUAAGACUGGGAUAACUUCGGGAAACCGGAGCUAAUACCGGAUAAUAUUUUGAACCGCAUGGUUCAAAAGUGAAAGACGGUCUUGCUGUCACUUAUAGAUGGAUCCGCGCUGCAUUAGCUAGUUGGUAAGGUAACGGCUUACCAAGGCAACGAUGCAUAGCCGACCUGAGAGGGUGAUCGGCCACACUGGAACUGAGACACGGUCCAGACUCCUACGGGAGGCAGCAGUAGGGAAUCUUCCGCAAUGGGCUAAAGCCUGACGGAGCAACGCCGCGUGAGUGAUGAAGGUCUUCGGAUCGUAAAACUCUGUUAUUAGGGAAGAACAUAUGUGUAAGUAACUGUGCACAUCUUGACGGUACCUAAUCAGAAAGCCACGGCUAACUACGU
rnacentral:rRNA from 1 species